GAUUAAGCCAUGCAUGUCUAAGUAUAAGCAAUUAUACCGUGAAACUGCGAAUGGCUCAUUAAAUCAGUUAUCGUUUAUUUGAUAGUACCUUACUACUUGGAUAACCGUGGUAAUUCUAGAGCUAAUACAUGCUGAAAACCCCAACUUCGGGAGGGGUGUAUUUAUUAGAUAAAAAACCAACGCCCUUUGGGCUUCUGGUGAUUCAUGAUAACUUUACGGAUCGCAUGGCCUUGCGCCGGCGACGGUUCAUUCAAAUUUCUGCCCUAUCAACUUUCGAUGGUAAGGUAUUGGCUUACCAUGGUUUCAACGGGUAACGGGGAAUUAGGGUUCGAUUCCGGAGAGGGAGCCUGAGAAACGGCUACCACAUCCAAGGAAGGCAGCAGGCGCGCAAAUUACCCAAUCCCGACACGGGGAGGUAGUGACAAUAAAUACUGAUACAGGGCUCUUUUGGGUCUUGUAAUUGGAAUGAGUACAAUUUAAACCUCUUAACGAGGAACAAUUGGAGGGCAAGUCUGGUGCCAGCAGCCGCGGUAAUUCCAGCUCCAAUAGCGUAUAUUAAAGUUGUUGCAGUUAAAAAGCUCGUAGUUGAAACUUGGGUCUGGCUGGCAGGUCCGCCUCACCGCGUGUACUUGUCCGGCCGGGCCUUCCUUCUGGAGAACCUCAUGCCCUUCACUGGGCGUGUUGGGGACCAGGACUUUUACUUUGAAAAAAUUAGAGUGUUCAAAGCAGGCCUUUGCUCGAAUACGUUAGCAUGGAAUAAUAGAAUAGGACGUGCGGUUCUAUUUUGUUGGUUUCUAGGACCGCCGUAAUGAUUAAUAGGGACAGUCGGGGGCAUCAGUAUUCAAUUGUCAGAGGUGAAAUUCUUGGAUUUAUUGAAGACUAACUACUGCGAAAGCAUUUGCCAAGGAUGUUUUCAUUAAUCAGUGAACGAAAGUUAGGGGAUCGAAGACGAUCAGAUACCGUCGUAGUCUUAACCGUAAACUAUGCCGACUAGGGAUCGGGCGAUGUUCUUUUUUUUGACUCGCUCGGCACCUUACGAGAAAUCAAAGUUUUUGGGUUCUGGGGGGAGUA
rnacentral:rRNA from 1 species